rnacentral:rRNA from 1 species
UACAGAGGUGGCAAGCGUUGUUCGGAAUUACUGGGCGUAAAGGGCGCGUAGGCGGCCUUCUAAGUCGGACGUGAAAGCCCCAGGCUUAACCUGGGAACUGCGUCCGAUACUGGGAGGCUUGGAUUCGGGAGAGGGAUGUGGAAUUCCAGGUGUAGCGGUGAAAUGCGUAGAUAUCUGGAGGAGCACCGGUGGCGAAGGCGGCAUCCUGGACCGAGAUCGACGCUGAGGCGCGAAAGCUAGGGGAGCAAACGGG